rnacentral:lncRNA from 1 species
GGCUCAGUGGUGGAGCGCUCGUCUAGCAUGUGUGAGGCACUGGGUUCAAUCCUCAGCACCACAUAAAAAAAUAAAUAAACAAAAUGAAGGUAUUGUGUCCAUCUACAACUAAAAAAGAAAUCUUAAAAAAAAAGAUUAUAUGUUGCUAUUUGACUUUUGUUUUUUUGAAAUGAUUUUCUAAAUUCUUUUUUUAUCAGUAGACAUAGUUUAUAGUAGACAUAAUUUAAAAAGUAAAAUAGUAAAAAAAAAAAAAGAAUUCAUAACAAAAUACAGGGAGUAGUUUUUUUCUACCUUCCCUAUUCUCUCUAGUCCCUAAAGGUAACCACUUUCAACUUCUUAAGCUGUUUCUUCUGGCAUUACAUAUCUCUGCAUUUUAAAAUAAUGUUUUUAUAAUGCUAUCUUUUAAUUCACUUAUUUAUUCAUUAUGUAUUGCAUUUUCAUUAUGAUGGCACAGAAAGUUUCACUGUCUUAAAUAACAAUUUCCACUGUUACCUUGCCCCUAGCCUCCCAAUUUGAUUUUUUUUUUUUUAAACUGUUAAAUGGAUACAGUAUCUUUAAUGUGGUGCUGAGGAUCGAAUCCAGUGCCGUACUUGUGCGAGGCAGAUGCUCUACCACUGAGCUGCAGCCCCAGCCCCUAAUUUAGUUUUAUUAUAAUGUUUGGUUAAAAAAAUAGUUAAUGUUAUAUUUAUACUAUCAUGCUUGUGCAAAUAUUAUUUGCUGAUAAUCCUUUUUUUUUUUUUUGGUANUGUGGUGAAGAGUUCCAGCAAGUCAGUUUAGGGCUGGUAUGGUUUGCCAUGGAUUCUGUCCUUUUCCAAAGUCUCUGUAGGGUCUACUAGAGCUCUAGCCAUUUCAUCCACAUUCCAUUCAUCAGAAAGGAGAAACACAUCUGCCUCCCUUAAAAGAUAUUUCCUGUGAAAUAAAUAAAUGAAUGAAUGAAUAAAUACUGUGUGUGUGUGUGUGUGUGUGUGUAUAUAUAUAUAUAUAUAUAUAUAUAUAUAUAUCUUAUAUAAUAAAUACACACACACAACUUUUGUUCAUAUUCCAUUGGUGAAAUUUAAUUACGUAGCCAUAGCUUGGACGAUUUGGGAAAUGUAUACUUUAUUUGAAUGGUCAGUGCCUGGGAAUAAAGAAUAGGAAUACUCAGAUAAGUGUAGCUAGAAGAGGAAUACAGGGUAGAUAAUAGUUCAUUGUCUUUAGGACAGUUUAAUUAAUUAUUGGUAAUUCUCAAUAGAACUUCUGUAAUUUUGAAAUUGAGUACAAAUUUAUUCUUAAAUUGCAUCAAUAGUACACGUGAAACAUCCCUAAUAUGAAACUCCGAAAUCUGAAACACUUCUGGUCCCAAGCAUUUUAGAUAAGGGACACGCAACCAGUGGGUUGUUUUUAGGGUAUAAUCCCUUUAUGAGUCCUGUGUGUAUGUGUGUGUACAUAUGUGUAUAUUUCCAUUUAACAAUGUUGAACAAAAUUACUUCACAUGGCAACAAUGUGAAAAAUUGAUGAUAAGUAACUGGUAUCCCUCUUUGGUUGAUUUAAAGCCUGCAAUUUUUACUCAGUCCUCCAUUCAUUCUCCAAUUUGGUUGGUUUUUGGCCAGUGUUUUUAAUCCAUCUCUGUCUUUAUAUUACUUCUGUCACUGCUGUUAAUCGUAUUUCCCAAAAUAGUUAAAUGAGUAAAUUUAAUUAAAUGUGUUAUUUGCAUUGUCUCCUGAUCAUUAAUGAAUUUGUAAGUAAGGUCAGACUUACAGUCUUCAUAGUAUUACAGUUACUGAAUUCUAUCCAUUGAAGUGGUACUUAAAUUUUAUUUUAUUUUUAAGGCUUCUGUAUUUUGUGUUCAUACGCUUUCAGUGUUAGAAAUAUGAAGCUCUUCCAACAAAAAGAUAACAUUUUCCUUAGAAUUUUUUGUCACUUUCAUCUGAAAAUGUUAUAACAAGUUUGAAUGAAAAAUUCUUUUUUUUUAAGAUAAAAAGAAGAGGGGCUGCGGUUGUGGCUCAGUGGUGGAGCGCUCGUCUAGCAUGUGUGAGGCACUGGGUUCAAUCCUCAGCACCACAUAAAAAAAUAAAUAAACAAAAUGAAGGUAUUGUGUCCAUCUACAACUAAAAAAGAAAUCUUAAAAAAAAAGAUUAUAUGUUGCUAUUUGACUUUUGUUUUUUUGAAAUGAUUUUCUAAAUUCUUUUUUACCAGUAGACAUAGUUUAUAGUAGACAUAAUUUAAAAAGUAAAAUAGUAAAAAAAAAAAAAAAAGAAUUCAUAACAAAAUACAGGGAGUAGUUUUUUUCUACCUUCCCUAUUCUCUCUAGUCCCUAAAGGUAACCACUUUCAACUUCUUAAGCUGUUUCUUCUGGCAUUACAUAUCUCUGCAUUUUAAAAUAAUGUUUUUAUAAUGCUAUCUUUUAAUUCACUUAUUUAUUCAUUAUGUAUUGCGUUUUCAUUAUGAUGGCACAGAAAGUUUCACUGUCUUAAAUAACAAUUUCCACUGUUACCUUGCCCCUAGCCUCCCAAUUUGGUUUUUUUUUUUUUUUUUUUUUAAACUGUUAAAUGGAUACAGUAUCUUUAAUGUGGUGCUGAGGAUCGAAUCCAGUGCCUUACUUGUGCGAGGCAGAUGCUCUACCACUGAGCUGCAGCCCCAGCCCCUAAUUUAGUUUUAUUAUAAUGUUUGGUUAAAAAAAUAGUUAAUGUUAUAUUUAUACUAUCAUGCUUGUGCAAAUAUUAUUUGCUGAUAAUCCUUUUUUUUUUUUUUUUGGUACCAGGGAUUGAACCCAGGGGCACUUUACCACUGAACCAUAUCCCCAGUCCAUUUUGUUUCUUAUUUUGAGACAGGGUCUCACUAAGUUACUACGGCCUUGCAAAGUUGCUGAGGCUGCCCUUGAACUUGUGAUCCUGCUUCAGCCUCAUGAACCACUGAGAUUACAGGUGUGUGCUACAUGUCUGGUCAAGACUAGAAUAUUCUUAUGUGAAAUUAUACUAUGUGAUUAUUAUUAUUUUAAUAAGUAAAGGUGAAGUAAUAAUACGGUACUCAAAUGUAGUAACUAAACAUUGGUCUCUAGACAGGGCAUUGCUAUAGAAAAGGAAGACUGUCACAUUUUUCUUGAUUGUGAGCUAUCACUUGAAUUUCUAAAAGUAAUUUUUGGAAAAAAACACAAAAAUCUUCUUUAUUAUAUUAAUACUAGAAAAUACUGAGCUUGAGGAAGAAAAUGAGAAUCACUUUAAUUCCAUACCUAGAGGUAACAACUGUUAAUAGUGCAGUGUAUAUUUCUAGUAAUUUUCUAUGUCUUUACCUGUGUAUUCGUACAUGUAUAUUUAAAUGGGAUAUACUACACUUAUUUUUUUUAUUCCCCCUUCAUUUUUUUCACUAUAAAAGUAUAUAUUUUUUGAGAAUUUUGUUUUGCACAGAAUCCUAAGGGAUUAUAUUUUCAUUAACAACAUCUGACAAGUGCUAUUUAUUUGAUUGUAGCUUUUGUGCCGUGCACUGUGCUGAUAUUUUUGUUUUUUAAACAGUUUUAUUAUGUUGACAUUAUUUCAGACUAUAGAAAAAAGUCUAAGAAUGGUAGGUAGAAUUCACCCAGAUAUCCCAAAUGUUAGCAUUUUAGUGUAUUUCUUUUUUCCCUUUUAUAAUGUAGGUGUAUACAGUUAGGUGGUGUUAAAUGAUGGGGAUAUAUUCUGAGACAUGCAUCCAUAGGUGAUUUAAUCAUUUUGUGUACAUUAUAGAAUACUUACAUAAACCUAAAUGGUAUAGGUCAAUCACUUGAUGUUAACUAUUGAAGCAAUCAAAAGACAUGGUAAACUUAAUGAAUGAGGGUGCUGCCUAUAUAACUUGCCAUGUUUUACAGUAAAGUUUUUUAAGAAUAUACUCUAAAAUGACGAAAAGUAUAGUAAAUAUACUACGUAUGUAUGUACCAUAUAUAAUAUAGUAAACCAUUAACAGUUGUUGAUAAUCAUCAUCACAUAAUACAUUCUGCACAUAAUUGUGCACUAUACUUUUGUACAACUGGCAGCCCAGUAGGUUUGUUUACACCAACAUCACCACAAACACACAAUGCUGACACUAAGUGAUAGGAAUUUUUCAGUUCCAUUUUUAUCUUAUAGGACUACUGUCCUAUAUGCAGUCUGUGGUUGACCAUAACAUCAUUAUGUGGUACAUGACUGUUUCUUGUGAAAGAAAGGCAUAGACCUUUCCCCUUACUUUAUGCCUAAAUCUUUCAGUGUGCAUUUUCUAAAAACAAGAACAUUUUUAUGUAAUGCUGUCAAAAUCAGUAAAUUAACAUUGAUUUGGUAAUAAUAAUUUAAUUGAUAUUAUAAUCCACAGACUUGUUUACAUUUUACCCAUGGUGCCAAUAAUGUACUUGAGAAUAAAAGGAAAUUCCAGAUCAUGGAGUGUAUUCAUUUUUUAUUAUUUCUGUAAAUCUAGAGCAGUUCCUCAGUCUUUGUUUUUUCAUGACAUGGACGUUUUUGAAGAGUGCAGGCUAAUUGUUUUGUAGAAUGUAUCUAGUUUGUGUUUAUCUGAUAUUUUCUCAUAAUUAGAUUCAAGUUAUCCAGUUUUGUCAGGAAUACCACAAAACUAGUAUUGUGCUUCUCAGGGCAUAAGCUCAGGAGGUCCAAAAUCUUGAAAUAUUGGUAAUGUAAUCUUGGAUCGCUUCAUUAAGGUUGAAUCUCCCAGGCUUUUCAUGGUGAAGUUACAGUUUUUCCUUUCAUAAUUUUUUCCCAGUUGUUUGGUAUCGGGAAUUGAAUCCAGGGAUGCUUAACCACUGAGCCACAUCCCCAGCCCUUUUUAUUUUAUUUUUUAAAUUUUGAAACAGGGUCUUGCUAAGGUGCUUAGGUCCUUGCUGUUUCUGAGCCUGGCUUUUAACCUGUGAUCCUCCUGUCUCAGCCUCCCUGCUGCUGGGAUUAACAGGCAUGCACCACCACACCUAGUUCCUUUUGUAAGUCUUUUUUUUUUUUUUUUGGUGGCAAAAUGUAUAUGACAAAAUUUAUUUUCAUAUUUUAACCAUUUUAAACAUAUAGUUCAGUGGCAUUACAUUCCCUUUGUAAUUUCAAAAUAUCUCAGGAAACAUACAUUAAGAUUUCAUAAAAUAUUUUGCUGCUCUUGAUUUUAAUAUCUAUUGAUGAGGUCUGCCUGAAUAAUUUUCAAAAUGGUUCCUAAAUGGUGAUUUUCUGAUUGUAUCAUUCUUUCUCAUUUAUUUAUAAUAGUACUAUAUUUAUUUUUUUACUCUUUCUCUGAUUUGGCCAUUUGGAGCCCCUUCAACUGAUUCCUGUUUCCAUUUGAUAUGCCAGUCAGUCAUUCUUUAAGCACUUCUUGCUUCCACAUGAGGUAUUUUAGGGUCAUAUUUGCACUCUCCCAGGCACAGCCCUGGAAUGAGUGCUUUCUUAAAGAAUCCCUUGUUCCUUUUGAGUAAUGAAUAGCUUUGUAAGCUAUAGUCUAAAUUCUGAAAGUCUUAGCUGCUACUGGAUAUCAUUGCUUCAAAGCCCUCUCAGCAGACACCUAGGAAAUACAUAUAUGUGAUUUGUGUGUGUUUAUAUACACACCCAUAGAACUUUUCUUGACUACUAAAUGCAGUGAGUUUAUACUGAUACCUUUGAUUUUGAUCUAACAAACACUAUAGGAUUUUAUUUUGUCUUCCCCUUUUCUCAUAUUUAUGGCUCCAUCCAACAGUGAAAAAUUUUUGCUUAUUUGUUCAAUCGUAGAAUGUAAAAAAAUAGUUUAAGAAUUGCUAACUCCUACCAUUAUUUAAAGGACACCUAGUAAGUAGAAUUCAGUUUGGUUAUAGUUUUUAUUCUCUUUAGCUUAGGGCAUAUAGUCCAAUCCUUCAUUGUAUAGUAGGGUAGCUACUUUUACAACAUGGAUUGAAAUGUGUUCUAAGUGUAAAAUAUGCAUUGGAUUUUGAAAACUUGUUACAAAACAAGGAGUGUGAACUCUGUCUUUAAUAUUAUAAUCGUUUUUGCAAACUGAUUGUUCCAGUAAGACCAGUUUUCUUCAGUGAUUUUGAGAUUUCACCUUUAUCAUAUGUACAAUUUUUGUAUGAUCUAUUUCUGGACUUUUUAUUAUUUUCUCACUGUUGCUUUUAUAGAGGUUUAAUAGUAUAUAAGGGGUUAGCUUUUAAAAAUUUUAAUGUUUUCCUGAUUAUCCUUACAUGGUUAUUUUCCUGUUAAAUUUUGUUAUCACCUUGUCUGUCUCCAUUUUUAAAAAAGUUUUCCAGUAUUUUUAUUUAAUUCGCCGACUUGAUGAUAUUGAAUUAUUCUGAGUUUUCUAUUCAGUAACAAGAAAUAUCUGUUUGCCCAAAUCUACUUUUGUGUAUUUUAGGAAUGUUUUAAGUUUUCUUCAUUUUGUUUUUGUACACUUCUUGUUAAACUCUCCAUUUUAAAAAAACUCAGUAAUGAUUUUCAUCAUGUCAGCAUUUAUAGAGCUAUGUCAUUCCUUUUAUUGCCUGUAGUUUCCUGUGGUCUGAAUAUACCAUAAUGUAUUCAACUUUGCUCAUGUCAGUGGACCUUAAAUUUGCUUAUAAUUUUUCACUAUUGUAAAUAGCGCUGGAAUAAGUAUCUAUAUACAAGUUCUUUUAUUUCAUUAGAUUACAUUCCUUGAAGGAGAAUUGCCUGGUCAAAUGCCCUUUGAUUUUAAAGUUUCUGAAGCAUUGCUAAAGUCUCUCAUUCCCUUCCCUUCCAUUCAUUCAAAGCAGGUAGAUACAGAUUAAGUUUUAAAUGGCAGGAGUGCCCAAAUAGUGGAUUUUUUUUUUCAUCUGAAUGGUGUUGAAUACAAAUGGCAGAAAGGUAAAAAAUUUCAUUGACUGUUUUAUAUAUUUAAGGUCCAGAUACAAUGUGUGUUAUAUAAAAGAGACCACUUAUUGAUUACCUUGCAUGUAUUAAAUCUAGGUGCCUUUUUUUUUUUUUUUGAGAGAGAGAGAGAGAGAGAGAGAAAGAGAGAAUUUAAAAAAAAUAUUUAUUUUUCAGUUUUUGGUGGACACAACAUCUUUAUUUUUAUGUGGUGCUAAGGAUCGAACCCAGCGCCCUGUGCAUGCCAGGCGAGCGCGUUACCGCUUGAGCCACAUUCCCAGCCCCUAGGUACCUUUAAUCCUACAAAUCCACCUAACAUUUAGACAAAACUCAGAUAUUCUACAUGUUUAGCACUCAGAUGUAGACAUAUCUCUAGAUAUAGAUACAUAAUACCAAUCAUACUACAACCUAAAAUAACAGUUGCUUAUUUCACCAAAGAGUUAUAAAGUGAUCAUUUAAAAGCCUUUAAACACAUCUAAAAUGUUUUCUAUAGUAAUAAAAUGUAUACCUACACUAACAGUGUACUUGAACCUCAUUCUGUUGGCAUCAUCAAAACAAGACGUCACCAUUCAUUUUUUUUUUUUUACCUGAAAAAUAGGCAAGGAUAAAACCAUCUUUAUUUUUCAUUUCUUUGCUAACUGAUGAGGUUUGUUUUUUUGCCCAACUAGCCUAUGUGUUGGAACUAUAGAUGACAGGGUAUAGUUGAACAUCUUUUUGUGUUUUUGGUCAUUUAUACUAUUGUGUUUCUUAUCUGUUUUGAUAACAGAAGUAAUUUCUGAUCAGUUUCUAGAUCAGUCCUUAGAUGUCAUUUCCUGUUCUGUUUUGUUAAUGAGCUUCUAAAAAGUAUUUGUUUUCAUUAUACAUUCUAUGGUAAUCACUAUUAAACUAUUAAACUCUUAGUAGUUACAAAAUUAGAAAAUGAAAAUUAAAUGCCCAGUUUUCAAAAGAAAUACUGUAUAUUUAUAUAAAAGUAAUUUUUGCUGUUAUUAUAUCCAGAUGAGGCUGCUGUCUGUUAGAGGGAAUUUUGUACAAUUUGCCUUCACACACAGUCUGUUUGCAUGGUGUAGACUUUUUUUUAUUCAAAACAUCAAUGUGGCAAGUUAGUAGUCUAUACUUAGGCACAUUUUUGUGUUUAUUUAAACAUUUGCUUACAUUUUGUUACUUCAGUGUUAUCUAGUUACUCCCGUGUAAAAUAAGUUUGAAAGUGUCAAUUUCCUGAAAGACUUAGGAUCUUUUGAAGAUUUUCUUUCUUCUGUUGUCUUUGUCUUUCUUAAUUUUGGUGUUUGUUGUGGAGAUAGUAAAGAUUGGUUAAAUUUUGGAAUUAGUUUUCAGAGUUAAUUACUAGCUUUGUCGGUUUACUCUCUUUCCAUUGUAACAAUUGAGCUCAUUAAACUCUAACUUUCCUAUAAUUCACAUAGGGAGCAGCAAAGAUGCAGUUUUAUUGUAGGGAUUAUAAUAAAAUAAAUGUUAUAGGGAUUUAAUUAAUUUAUUCAGAAAGAAUAGAUGAUCAUAAAUCUUCAGUAAAAUGUAGGAGUAAAAAAACAAUUAGAUAACUGUUUUUGAUUUUUAUAUUACCCUGUAGGUAUUUAUUUUCAGUCAACAUUUUUUCUUUUAAAGACAGUAAGUCGAUAUGACUUGCUGUUUUACCCAUCCUCUGAUAUUUUCAGUAUUUUCCAGCUUCUGACUCUUGUGUGUUGCCAGUGGCAACUGGGAAGCUGAUGUACAGGGUGAAGGCUUUAGUGGUAAUCAGAGGGUCAGUCACAGCAACUGUCAGAAGAAUAAUUGUACUCAUGUGCUGCUGAAGCACAUGGCAAAAAUUGAAUGGAAAUUGUAAUAACAUGAUACUGGUGAUUUGCAGAAUUCAUUUUAAAUUGUUUAGCACAGCUAGACAUGGUGAGAAAUAAAUGUUGAUGUUGAGACCUGAGUUUAAACAGUGUUCUCAAAAAGAAUACAAGGUUAAGGAGUCAUGGGCACAGAUAAAAGGGGGAAAUAAAUUUCUCCUUUGUUAAGUUUUUUUGGGUAGUUUUUUGCUUUGGUUAGCACCAGAAAGCUAUCUUCAGACAUUUCUAAAUGUUAUGCUUGGCUCAUAUAAGUAGAUGCAUGGGAUUUCAUUGUACAUAACUGAAAUAGCCUAGAUCUCAGAGCAAACCAAAGUGAGUUUUUUUUUUUAACUUAUAUUUUGUUGUAUGUGGACACAAUAGCUUUAUUUUAUUUUUAUGUGGUGCUGAAGAUCGAACUUAGUGCCUCAUGCUUGCUAGGCAAGUGCUCUAUCUCUGAGCCCCAGCCCCAAAGUGAGUUUUAAUCUAGGUUAUUUAAAAUCUCCUUGUACCUGUCUUAUUAGGAGUAUUAUUAUUUUUUUUUUAAGAAGCUAAUUUGCAACUAGCCAUAAAGAGUGACAUUGUGUCCAGGAAAAUGCUAUACUCACACACUGUACUGUCCCACAAGAGUACUUCUUAAGUCCCCAAAUGCAGUGCUGACAAUCUGUGGCAGCCUAUGAAUUGUUGAAUAGCAGUUGGGGAAGGUGGACAGCAGGGUAAAGUGAUUGUAAGUUAAAGAGGAGAUGGGAAGGGGAAGAAAUGAGAAAAGAGCAGGGCAACUCUGGUUUUGUGGGCAGUUUGAAUGCAAGCUAUUCUAGUUGUUAGGAUCUGCUGAUAAAACUGAAACAAAACAUGCAGAGGUGUUUGGAGGCAUAAAUACUUAUCAUUUCAAGAUGUUAUUGUUUAAUUCUGUUAUUAAAACUGUAAGGUAAGAUUAGAUGGAAUUAAAAAUUUUGGCCAAGUGCUGUGGCACAUACCUGUGAUCCCAGUGGCCAGGCUUAGAAAUUUAAUGAGGCCUUAAGUAACUCAGUGAGACCCUGUCCCUAAAUAAACAUUUCAAAAGGCUGGGGAUGUGGCUUAGUAGUUAAGCAUCCCUGGGUUCAAUCCUUGGUGCCAAAAUUAAAAAAAAAUUUCUUUUGAAGAGACUAGACAUAUCACUUUGUACCAGGGAAUGAAACUGAAAAUGAAAAUUAAAUAAAAAGGGUUGGGGUAAUGGAGUUGGGUCUUAUCUUCUCCAGGAAUUAUUGUAGUGAUAUUAAGGACAGUCUCUAGAAUAUCUAAAUCCCAAAUGAUUGACUGGGUCUUUAUCUCAGGCAAAUGUAUCUUAUGUAUUUGUACAUCUUUUGAUUUGAUUUACAAACAUAUAUGUACAUUUACCACCAGCUGGUUUCAUUUCAGAAAUAUAUGACCAGCUAGAGCCAUCUGUGUCAGAUAUCAAGGAAUAAAUUUCUGGCUUAUUAUUUGAAUUAUGUAGAAUAAUUUAAUCUAGGGCAAGUUAUGAUUCUGAUCUUUCUUGAAUUUUAAGGAUGAUUAUACAAAGUACAAGUUGAACACUCAAAAAGUUUUUCAUUUCAGGUUUCAAAUUUUUGAAUUACGGGUACUCAGACUUAUAUUUAAGUCUAAGUAAAUAUUCCAGAAUCCCAAAACUCUGAAAUCUGAAACUUUCUGAUUCCAAGCAUUUCAGCUAAGAGAAACUCAACCAGUAAAUGUAUUUGAUUGUUUCCUAAGUAUAAAUGUGGAAUUAGGUUUGGGACCCAUUGUUUUUGACCCCAUUCCUUCUGUUAAUUCUAUUACUAGUUUUAGGUUAAAUAUGUUACUGUUUGUUCAUUGAUGAAAUUGGAUUUAAGUAAUCAUGAGAAAAGGUUUUAGUCAAGGAUACUUGUUAUCUCCUCUAUAUCAUUGAUACAUACUGAAAAAGAUACCAGGGCUAAAUGGAAAGGCAAAUGUAGUGAUAAAGGAAAGGUGUAGACACUGUAAUAACUUCUCAGGACUUACCUGUAGAGUCUAGACUCAAUUCUCCACCUUAUCCUAGUGUUGAAGGCCUUCCAGGCUGAAUAUAAUCUUUCUGACAAUGAACCUUUGGCUUUACCUAAACUAGUAUUGUGGACUAAGUGUUUGUGCAACCCCCCUUUCAUAAGUUGAAAUCUAAUCCUUAAUGUAUUGGUAUUUUGGAGGCAAGGCCUUUGGAAAGUAAUUGGAUCAUGAGAAUAAAGCCCCUAUGAAUGGGAUUAAUGACCUUAUAUGAUGGUGCCAAAGUGCUGUCUCACUCACUUUCUCCUUUGUGAGGAUAUAAGUAGGAGUUAGCUAUCUGCAAAUUAUAAUAGGGCUCUCUCCAAAACCUGACCAUGGUGGCUCUCUGUUCUUUAACCACCAGCUGCUACAACUGUGAGAAAUUUCUGUUGUUGAUAAGCUACAUACUCUUUGAUACUUUUUGAUAACAUCUUGAACUGAAAUAAAAAUUUGUAUUAACUAUUUUCAAAAUAAUGCUUUCUAACUUACUGCUUCUUCACAUAUUCAGCCUCUUUUUUCUACAUCAAUUCUGUCUGAAUGUCAGCUUCUGUAGUUCUGGCCUCAAUACCAUUGCUUCAUCACAUUUUCCUUAACCAUUUCAGACCUUUAGUGAUAUCUCUGUCCUCUGGGUUUCUGUCAUUUACUGUUUUUCUUGUUUACUUGGCAGUUACAAUAACAACAACAACUACUACUACCUUUCUGUUUUUAAAGUAUCUUUUCAUUUAGAUAGAGAUAUCUUAAGUGGGAAAACUUCAUUUUUAUUCAUGUAUUGUUUGAUGUGAGAAAAAGCCAUUACAUAUUAUUAGCUCAUAUCAAUAUUUAACAUUUAUCUUUCUUUUGGAGUCAUAAGAAUAAUAGACUAGAAAGCAAUUUAAAAGUUUGAGCAGUAGAUCAUAACUUCUUUGAAAGCCUUUUGCAGUCUGCUAUAUAGGCUUGCUGAUUCUUAAAGUAACAUAGCUCUGAAAAUGUUAUUUAUUCUAAGGUAAUUUUUAUUGAAACUCUUAAUUAGCAAAUUUCAAACUAUAGAAGCUAUUAUUCAUUAACUUCCUAAUGUUUUCUCUGCCUGCCUUGAAGUGAAACUUGCUUUUUUGGUUUAUUUUUCACUGGGAAACAUAUUGCUGAUAUAUAGACUCUACCUCCUUUAUAGUUAUUCCUUUUUGUUGCUAGUUCACUUUGGAGUUUAAUAUUCUCUGCUACUGUUUUACUUCAUAGUUUUUAGAAGGUAUGCAUUCUAGUCUAAUGUAGUAGUUAUAUCAGGGACUUUUAACAGUUAAUUAACAUUUGGAAGCUCUGGGAUCUUAAGUAAUAUAAUUUUCAGUUUUCUCAUCUGUGAAGUUGGAAUAAUAAUAGAUACCCCUUAGUAUUAUACUUGGGAUCAAACAAGAUAAUAUACAUAUAUACACAUACAUACGUGUAUGUGUGUAGACACUAAGCACAGAUUAAGUGUAAUAGUCUUUAACUUUUAAAAUUUUCUCAGUGGUUUAUUAGCUUUAGUCUGCAUCUUAAAGAGAGGAAAAAAAUCAAAUAGUAAUGUAUAUCUUGGUUGAGGUAUAGUCCCCAAGGCCUUAUCCAUUUGAUCUCCUUUAUUUUCAACUAUAGUGUGUCAGUUUAACUCAGGACAGGCCCAGGAGAGAAACUAAUUUCAAAUAACUCUAAAAUACAGACUAUCCUUCCGAUGUUUAGUUAGGGGAAGAAGUUUUAGCAGGUUUUUUUCUUUGAUCCCUACCAGCAGGUACACACACACACAUACACACACAGAGCAGAAAGCAGGCUUUUCCCUAUACCUUUUUAUUAUAUAUUAUAUUGCUAUUGUUCAGUUAUAUUAAGGCUUUGAUCUUACUGCCUUUAGUGGUAAUCAAUAGUAGGUGCUAACAUUAAACAUGGAAUAGUCAACUUGGUGAACCAUGAGGUUCCCAUGUCAUUGGAGUGUGAAAGAGAUUAAGCUGCAACCUGUUUCCUAGCCUAUAAAGUGUGAAAUCAGUUGGUGUUAAUUCAUGGUGACUAUAUAUAGCCAGUUGAGUGUAAAACAAGUUUGGGGUAUUAAUUGUGUUAUGUUUUGAGAAUAACUUUUUAAUGCUAUAAUUUGUGUAUUUUAGGGCUCCCAAGAUCCUCCUGGAAUUGUGUAUCCUUUAUACACUCAUAUUAUACUUAGAUAUAAUAUGAUUAUCUUGUCCAGAUACUCAUAUUUUUCAUGAAAUGUUUCUUCCCAUUGUGUAGGCUACAUUUUUUGUCCAACUGCAUGCAGAGGCACAAAGGUUAUAAAUGCUCAAGGAAAGCUAAUAUUUAAUACUAUAAUUUUUCUGUAUAAUAUUGCAUGUAAAAAAUACCAUUUGCAGUUGGUAUUUGAUAUACAAAUGUCUUCUAAGACUUAGAUUUGAAAGUAUAUAUUGUACUUUAAGGUUUCCAUUACUCUAAGAACUGUGCUGUCAGUUCCACUGGUUGUUAUUCCCAUGUUCACAUGUGCCUCUAGAUGAUUUCAAAUGCUUGGGGAAGUUGCAGGGAAGAAGUAUAUAAAUUAUUCUCUUGGGGAAUAGUAGAGAGGGAGAUCCUUUCCUGACACCUGGUGAGGUUCUUUACCAUAUGGCUUUGAGGUGAGGCAAGGUGAAUGAGGAAGUUUCAGAGACGAUAGUGAAUUAUUAUUGUCAGCACUUUAAGUCUAGAAGGUUAUUGGAAAUUGAUAUGCUAUGAAAGCUUUAAAGUUCUUUCAUUCUUAUUCUGGUUGGUUUUCUCAUUUUACUGAAGCAAUCUUUGAGCUCUCUUCAGUUGCUUUACGUUUACACAGAUUCUAAGCGAAUUGCAAAUAUUUAUGAAAUUAAUACAUUAUUGUGAGACAGAAUGUACUAUGUUAGACCAUCAGGCAUUCUAGCAUAGUAGUUAAGUGUGGGGACUUUUUGAAAUCCUAACAAAAGAUCACCCACUUAGAAGAAGCUGGGUGAUCUUGAGUUAUUUAAGCUUCCUAAUUCUCAUCUGUAAAAUUGGGAUAAUACUAGUUACCUCAUAAUAUUUAGUUGGAAUCAAAUGAGAUAGUAUAUAUAUGGUAUUUAGCACAGUCCCUGUGACAUAGUAAGCAUUCAUUAAAUAUUAGCUGAUUAUUACUUUUUAUUUUCCUUCUACUACUCUUAUUGGUACUAUUCUACUACUAUUUGACUUCUGUUUGUAGGGCUUAAACCUUAAUGAACCAAAAAAAAAAAAAUAUAUAUAUAUAUAUAACUGGACAAGGUUCACAAGAACAGAUUUUGAAAACUAUGUUAUUAUUCUUUUAGGCAUGGGUUAAUAGUCCUUUCUUAACCAAACUAGAAUCUCAAAAUAGCUUUUCUAAAUGAAAGUUAGGGAUCUUUGUAUUGAUUUAAGAUAGCUGUGCAAAUGAAUAUAAAAAUUGAUUAUUCUAAAAUGUAUUUGGUUAAUGCAAAUAAAACAGCCUUUCUGUGAACUCUUAUGGAUUAUAUUGAAAUAAGACUUCAAAACAGUCAUUGCUUUUUUUUUUUUUUUUAAAGGGGGAGGGGAGGGAAUCUUUUUUGUAGAUGGACACAACACAAUGCCUUUAUUUUUUAUUUUUUAUGUGGUGCUGAGAAUCAAACCCGGGUCCCGCCCGUGCUAGGCAAGUACUCUACCACUGAGCCAUAAUCCCAGCCCCGAGAAAUGAUUUUCUUCUGGUGCUAACAAUAGUUGUGGUAGAGGUUUUGUCCAGUGUAUGAAACAUAUUUUUGUGGGAAUGAGAUGGAAAAGUCAUCCUGAUCAUUUACACUAAUGGAGAUGAGCAUUAGUGUGGAUAAUAUAUUUGAAUUUGAUGUGCAUUAUGUGAUUAUUUUUGCAGCACAAUUAACUUUCUGAUUAAACUUUACUCAGCAUAUAUCCUGAUGAUAUACUGGGUAGAAAACUGAGUGAUAUAGCUAUAAUGGUGACAACAUUACUGAUUUAGUUUAGAUAGGUGAUCUGGAUUCAGGUCUCAGUUUCCAGUCAAAUAAGUGUAAGUCUUAGAUACACUCCCCAACCAGUUUUCUCAUCUUUAAGAUGAGGAGGUGAUACAGCAUGAUUUUUGAAGGUUCUUAGCCAUAAGACUGUAAAAUCUGAAUGGAGGUAGGUUGGGAAUGAGGAAAUGUAGCAGUGACACGUUCUGGCCACCAGAGGGUGAAAUCCAGUCAGUCAUCUUGUGUUGUAUUGUUGACCAGAGUUUGGCAUUCUUGGAAAUGAAGAGGACACAUUGCUUCCCUGUCCAUUUAGGCUAAGUCAAUACUACUUGCAUUCAGUAUCCUUUUUUUUUUUCCCUUUUCUUUUUCAACCUUCUGGAUAGGACUGGGGCAAAUAAAGGAAAAGAGAAGAGUAGUGGUUUCUAAUGAUCCGGGCUUCACUGACAUCUGGUUUUGUUCUCUAAGAUGGUGAAUGACUAUCAGAUAACCUAUGUGCAACUUCAGUGGGAAGCUCAGUAGUUUAGGUGACCACAUUUAAUUAUUUGUAGCACUCUUCUCACGCAUAUAAACACAUAAGCACUUCUCAACUAUCAUUAUCCACCCUCUCUGAAAUCCCAGGAUAAAGACAAAAUGUCUGAGAAAUACAGUAGAAUGAGACAGUAUUUGUAAUUGUAAUCUUAAAUUUCAGCUUGCUUUGCGGGUUUGCCAUUUAAUAUCUUUGUAACCAUGAAGAGUAAAACCUUGGAUCCUUGGUAUUCUUAUCUGAAAAAUUAGGAUGUUGUGGCCUAUACUAUCCCUUCUAGUAGUCUACAGAUACUGCAAAAAAUUCUUUGAUAUUUAUAAGGGGAAGUCUUUUUCUUAAAUACAGAACUAUAAUAAAAAAAUGGUUACUCCCCCCACCUCCACUCAUUUUUGCAGUAAUGGGGAUUGAACCCAGGGCUGCUGUACCACUGAGCUACAUCCCAGCCUUUUUUAUUUUUUAUUGUGAGACAAUGUCUCAUUAAGUUGCCCAGGCUGGCCUCAAACUUGUGAUCUUCCUGCCUCAGUCUCCUGAGUCACUGGGAUUACAAGCAUGAACCACUGGGCCCUGCUAAAGAAGGAUCUUUUAAACAUAGCAUAUUAUUUCUGUUUUGACAGAAACAGAUACAGAUGUUGUUAAGGCAUAAAUGUUAAAACAUUAACAUUUAUUAACAACAAGAAGAAAGACUGUUGCUAUUUCAUUGAAUCAUUUUUCUUACCCCAAAAAUAUAAAGGUUCUCUACUUAUAGGUUUAGGGUAGCAGUAGUUUAGUCAAGAGAAUGUUUUCUCUGAUAUGUGGAUGCUAAUUCACAAUAAGGGGGGUGGCUAGGUAAGAAUAGAGUUUCUUUGAAUUAGGCAGAGAGGAAUGAAGGGAGGGGAGGGGAUAUGGUGCUAGGAAGGAUAGUAAAAUGAAUUGGAUGAUAUUACCAUAUGUGCAUAUAUGACUGCACAACUGGUGUGAUUCUACAUUAUGUAAAACCAGAAGAAUGAGAAGUUAAACUCCAUUUAUGUGUGAUGUGCCAGACUUCAUUCUACUGUCAUGUAUAACUAAUUAAAACAAAUUAAAAAAAAAAAGAGUUGGUCAAUACUAGGAACCAAGCUGACCUGAUUGGGAUGUAGGAGAUAAGGAAGCAUUUAGAGGAGGUCUUAAUUUGGGAAUAAGUGAGCAUAGAAAAAGAGUAUAUGGGUACUAGGAGUUCAUAUCACAGUAUCCAUUUCUUCUAGCCACACCAAUGGAAAUAACUUUGAUAGAGUCUAAGUUGUCUGAGAGCUCAGGAUAGCAUCGAAGGAACAAAGAAAGGCAUGGAGUCUAAUACAGAUGAGAUGACUAGAAGAAGGCAAAGCAAAUGGACAUAAGAAUGUGCUUUGGAAAGUAGGCAAGGAUUAGUACUUACACUUUGAUAUGUACUCAGGAAAGUAAAAGUGAACUAGAUAGAAACAGGAUUUUAGCAUUCUGUAUAGAAGACAGAUUUUUUUUUUCCUUUUUUGUACCAAGGAUUGAACCCAGGAGCGCUUUACCACUAAGCCACAUCCUCAGCCCUUUUUAAUAUUUUAUUAGAGACAGGGUCUCGCCAAGUUGCUUAGGCUGGCUUUGAAAUUGGGGUCCUCCUGUCUCAGCCUCCUGAGCUGCUGGGAUUACCGGUAUACAACACCAGGCUGGGCCAGUUGAUAGAAUUUAAUUGUCCUGUUUUUAAUCACCAUCCUUGGUGUUGGUAGACAGGACUCUAUACAUGUUUGAGGACAGUGAUAUAUCACUGGCAAACUCGAGGUGGUUUGAUGAUUCUAAUAGCAUCACACUCCACUGGAUACACAUACUCACAGAUCUGCUCACCAGUACUGUAGAGUUCAUUCCCAGAAACGAACUGGCUAGUAAAAAAUUUGGCAAACAAGCUAGCUUUUCAAGUACUGCUAGGAAUGGAGCCCAGCUGUUCCCUUUGGGCUUUAAGCUGUUGGAAUUCAUUGUGUUAACAGCUAGAAAGAAUGAAACUAUAACAUGUUUAGCCUAGUUCAUGACAGCAAAGCAGAGGUGUUAGGAUUUCUGUUUUAGAGGUUUACACUGCAAGUAACUUAACCUGAUUGUGUGUCUUAAUAUUACUGGGCUUCUGACCGCUGAAAUAUGGCUUGGAUCGAUGGUGGUUUGGAGAAAGUAGAAAGAGGGCUAUCCAUCAUUUAGAGGCCCCAUAGAAGCUGGCUGAUAAUGCUGCUUUCACCAAGCAGCCAUCUGUCCAUCCAUCCAUCAGUAGGAUGAAAUGAGAUUUAGCGGAACAGGCAGCCGUAACUCUGAGACACUUUCUAACCAACAAUUGCAGCCCUGGCCUGAGUCUCACCACAAAGCACAGCACUGGGGUUUGGCGGGAUGUGGCAGCAAGCAGUCUCCUUCCCGUCACUGCCAGCCUAGAGUGUAUUCAAUAUGAAGCCAUUGGCCAGCCUUACUUCCCAUACAAAAAUUUGGCUAAACUUUUGAUGAUGAGUAGACAGUAACUCUCUUUCAACUCCAGACUGUUUAACAAGUUGAGCAGACCUUUUUGAUGUUAAUAUUUUUUUAAUACUUGUAGAUAUUUCUGCUGGCAAUUCCCUAUUCAUCAUGGUAAUAAGGAUGAUGUUGAAUUAAAUUCAAAGAUAAUUCAUUGAUUUUAUUUUAUACAAGUUUUUUUUAUUCUUAAAUUAAAAUUUCUGCCUAUAUUCAUACGUAGUAAAAAUUGAAUUUUCAUCCUUAUUUCUUUCUACAUUAAUGGUGCUAAUGUGAAAGGAAAGAAAGUAUGGAUAGGAAAAUGGGUAAAAGAUUAAAAGCAAGAACCUAGGUGAUCCCUAAAGUGGAUUAUCAAGCUGUGAAUAGAUGAAUAUUAACUAUAUCUUUAUGGUUCCUCUACUUUUCCUAUAACUGAACAUUUUGAGAGACCCUGUUGGUCAAAAUAGCACUUUGUACUCAUGUUGACUAUCCUGGUAUCUUUCCUAGGCAUGAACAGCUUCCUUGACUGUUUUCUUACAAUGGUCACUUCAGACCUCAGCUCCUGCUCUUUGUUCUGAAGCCUUGGUUUUCACCUCAGAUUGAGGGAGGGGUUAAGGGAGCCUAAUGUACCGGAGAUGCCUCGGAAAUGAGAGCCUUGGAUGAAUUCCUGGGCCUAUUGAUCCACCGGCAGUUUAUGCAUCCUGACAUUCAUAAUCUCAGUAGGCUGCUGAUGUUCCUGAUUAAUGGGCCCAGGGGCUGUCCAUCCGUCACUUCACAUUAAUUACUGAAGAGGUGUUUUUCCAGUGAUUUACCUGACAGUGGGCUGUGAUAAAUACCCCUAAGCAGAGUGGGCAGUGAUUAAUCACAGGGCUAUACCCCUCCCCCCAUUUUUCCUUUCCCCUAACCACAGGCCAGCAUUGGGACCUGACCAAAGAGUGCCCCCUCCCCAUAAGCUAUCUAUCUCCAUAAUUGCUUGUGGAUGGUGAUUUAUUGGGGCAUGAGACCUGGCAGAUAGCAUUUAAGAAUUUGAGCCAAAGAUGAUGAAAAAUAAAUCUUUCCAGUAGGAAGAGUAACUAACAUGUUUUUACAUGGGGCAGAUAAGUAUAUAAGAGCUGCGUUUAUGUUACCUUUAAAAUUUUGGGAGGAAUAUUGUCUUCUUACUAUGUCUGUACUUAGUGCUGUGAUAGUUAUGUUGCAGGCUUUAAAAAGAGGAGACAGUACAACUUUUGUCUUUGAUAUUUGUAGUCUAUUCAGGGAGAAAAUGAACAAAUAGAAUGUAGACUAUUUCAAGAUAUUGGUAUAAUCUGAGGAGGACUGGAAUAGAACUCUAGGGUUUCAUUUUUUUUGUGGCCUUAGAAGAUGAAAUUUAGUUAAAUAUUUAGCUAUUUUAUUGUUUUCCAUGUGUCAGAUACUAAUUUCAACUUCAGAAAUUGGAAGAUAAGUUUAAUGUAGCUGCAGAUCUCAGCAAAAACCAAUGCCAUUUGCCUCAAUUUCUCAAAGUAUGAACUUUCCAGAGAUUUGUUGAAUUAAUUUUUGCAUUAAUUUGUUUCUCUGAGUAUAUAUUUAGUAAUUGUGUUCACAAGGAUACAAGGAGCACAUGAGGAAUUAUGUCUGUUUUCAAGAAACGUAUACAGUAUGAGAUAAUAUUCAUAAAUGCAACUUUUUUUUUUUUUAAGGUGGGGUUGUAUUUCUGUUUUUCCCAGAUUAACCCUGAAUUACUGGACUCAAUUGAUCUUUUCUACAUCAGCAUCCUGAGUAGCUGGGACCAUAGGUGUGCAUCAUCAUCAUGCCUGGCUAUAAAUGCAACACUUAAACAACAGUAUAAGGUAGUAUCUAAUGACAUGAAUACCACAGAUAAUGAAUGUAUAUGAAUUCACAGAAGGAUGAAAGCAGUGUACCUUCAAAUGGUUAUAGGAAAAAGCCAAAUUUGAUAUACGUCUUUUGAAUUAAUAGAAACUAGGGCUGUUUAAAAUGAGAUAAUUCUAGGGGGAUAGUUCAGAUGUUGAAUGAAAGAGGCUGGGAGGCCAUCCUGCCUGGAAUGGAGAAUUUUAUUUGUGAGUAGCAGGAAUCUGAUUGAAACAGUACAUUGACACCAAGUCAUGGCGAACUUUAAAUUCCUUAUUUUAUAUCUUGUAGGUUCUGGUGAAUCACUAAGGGGUGCAGGUGUGUGUAUGCUGGAGUUUGACUAGAGAGCUUACACAUGCUAGGCAAGCAUAUUUCUGACUACUGUACCUUCACCCUGCCAGAGGGAUUUUCUUAAUGUCUCCUCUACCCUCACCUUUAUGUCUUCCUGCUGAACUUGCAUCUUAAAGAGGGUAUUUCUCCAUGCGCUAGCUCUUCUCCCAAGUAGGUGUUUGUUGAUACCAUUGGUAUGGUUCAGUCUUCAUUUUAGGUAGGUGUCUUACUUUCCCUUGGAACUCACUUGGAACUUUUUCAGUGGUUCUUUAAGGGUAGAGGACUUUGGUUUGGUUGGUUUUGUUUCAUUUCCCUUAAUCAACUACAGUAGGUCUUUGCGUUUUUCCUGAGAGCAAUAGCAUUGACUGCCUUUUUUCCCUUACCACUUAAGACUUUUCCUAUAGGAGAGGUGGGCAAGAAGAAUCCAGGUAGGUUUUGGUAUUUUUCCCAAAGGAGCUUCCAUUCUCUUCCAAAUGUACCCUAGUCGUUUUUUUUCAGCCUGCAUUGAGGUCUUUGGAGAAGAUUCCUAUGGGUGAGUGAGAAUCCUAUUGUUUCUGUGGUUACCAAGGGUUUUAUAUUGUCAUAGUAGCCCAUGUUUGGCCUGUAGUAAUUUUAAAAUAAUUUUAAUUUUGAUUAAAAUUCUUCUGACUGACUUGUAUGAUAUCCAUUGUUUACUAUAGGUAAGGAAGUGUCCUCAUGUCUCAUCUUUCCUUUGAGAAGUCUUGUCUUUCCUUAAAUUUGAGGUAGUUGUUUGCCCUUAAAAUUUUAGGUAUAUUGCUAUGAAAUGUGUAAAAAUCACAAAAUUUCCUGAACCCAGCAAGAAAGUAAGGGUUUUGGAAAUUUUGUGAUUUUGCACGUUAUCCACCCACCAUUCAUUCAUUCAUUCGUUUAGUAGUGCAGAAGAUUAAAUAGUUAAGUAAUUUACUAAUUUUACCAAAGUAUUGAUAAGAACUGCAAUAGGAGUAUAUAGAAGAGUAUAUAUAAUCUUAAAUAAUUAAUGUUAUGGUUUGGAUCUGGAAUGUCCUCCAUAGACUCAGGUGUUAAUAGUUGGUGCCCAGUUGGUGCUUUGGGAGGUGGCUACUAACUGGAAGGUGUUGAUCACUGGUGGUAUAUCCCUGAAGGGUCCAUUUUUUCGAUUUCUUCCCUCCCCAGUUCCUGGCAGCUGUGAGAUAAGCAGCACCUGCUCCACCUUGCACUCUUCACUGGGUAAUGUUAUACCUCACCAAAGGCCCAAAGUGACAGGACCAAGUAAUCAUGGUGUGAAAUCACCAGCCAAAAAUAAAAUCUUUCCUAAGUUGAUUUUCUCAGGAAAUUUGUGAGAGAGAGAAUAGAGGAGAUUAGUAAAGAUGGGAAGUUGUAGGAAAGUAAAAUAGGUAGAAGGAAGAGACCAUGUGGUGGCUAAUAUGUAAAACAAACAAACAAAAACCCUGCAAAACAGAUAUGGAAAGUUUGAAAAGCUGAAAGAUGCCCACUAUGGCUAAAUGGUAUACAAGGACAGAAGUGACAGAAGGUAAGAGUGGAGAAAAUUGACCAGAGCCAGGAUAAAACAAGUCUUGUAAACCAUGUUAAGAGGUUGAUUGUUAUCAUAAAAAUAUUGGGGAGUCGUUGAAUGGUUUUUAUUGAGGGGGAUAGCUAAGCAGGGAAUUAUUUUUAAACGGUCAUUCUGGAUGCAAGGUGAGGAGUGAUGGAAAGGAAGCUAAGACAGAGAGAUGGCCUGUUACCACAAUAUAGGGAUUUGUAUGUGUUGGUUUAACCUGGAGCAGUGACAUUAGGGAUAGGGAGAAUUAACCCAGGUUAAAGAGAUAUUUAGGUAUGACGGUCAGUAGAACUUGUCCAUUGAUUGAAUAUGGAGGUCAAGGGAGAAGGAAGACUUGCAGUGUAUUCAGUAAAAGUCUUGGUAUGUUGCUUCAGUUUUCCUUUCUUCCUUGAGAGAGAGACUAGAAUAAAAACAUCCUUGGUUGACUUCACCAUUCAUGACCCAUGGUUCAAAAUUUAUUGAGGUUUUGGGUGGAAGUAAGUCAGAAAAGGAAAAAAAAAACAUUUAAAUAAUUUGUAACGUCAUUUGAAUACAGGUCUUUUGCCUGAUUAUCUUUCAGUGUUGAGAAAAACAGAAGACAGUUUGGUUCUUUCAGUUUUGAUGUUUAGCCACUUGGCUUGUAAACAAAUAAAAUCUGGAAAAUGGCUUCCUUACCCUUUUUGAACAAAAAUAGCAUAAAAUUGAUCUUUUCAAAUAGCUGUUCCAUUUAGAUAGAUACUUAACACAUUUAAUCACAUAACUUCCUUGUUUUUCCCAGAUGGUUUUAUUCAGCAUUUGGUGUGGUGAAUAUUACAUAAAUAUUUACAACCUGUGUUUGAGAGUUCUAGUCUUCCAAAACUCCAGUCACCUAAGAUCAUGACCACUGCCACUGACAGCUGUGACAAGUUUUAUACAGAACACAGCUGUGGAUGCCAGCAGUAUUUUUAUGGUAUGUGGGGGGGAAAUACAAUUUUCAGAAA